GAUGAACGCUGGCGGCGUGCCUAAUACAUGCAAGUCGAGCGAACAGACGAGGAGCUUGCUCCUCUGACGUUAGCGGCGGACGGGUGAGUAACACGUGGAUAACCUACCUAUAAGACUGGGAUAACUUCGGGAAACCGGAGCUAAUACCGGAUAAUAUAUUGAACCGCAUGGUUCAAUAGUGAAAGACGGUUUUGCUGUCACUUAUAGAUGGAUCCGCGCCGCAUUAGCUAGUUGGUAAGGUAACGGCUUACCAAGGCGACGAUGCGUAGCCGAUCUGAGAGGGUGAUCGGCCACCCUGGAACUGAGACACGGUCCAGACUCCUACGGGAGGCAGCAGUAGGGAAUCUUACGCAAUGGGCGAAAGCUUGACGGAGCAACGCCGCGUGAGAGAUGAAGGUCUUCGGAUCGUAAAACUCUGUUAUUAGGGAAGAACAAAUGUGUAAGUAACUAUGCACGUCUUGACGGUACCUAAUCAGAAAGCAACGGCUAACUACGUG
rnacentral:rRNA from 1 species